UACGUAGGGUGCGAGCGUUAAUCGGAAUUACUGGGCGUAAAGCGUGCGCAGGCGGUUUUGUAAGUCAGGUGUGAAAUCCCCGGGCUCAACCUGGUAAUGGCAUUUGGGACUGCAAGGCUGGAGUGCGGCAGAGGAGACUGGAAUUCCUGGUGUAGCAGUGAAAUGCGUAGAUAUCAGGAGGAACACCGAUGGCGAAGGCAGGUCUCUGGGCUGACACUGACGCUCAUGCACGAAAGCGUGGGGAGCAAACAGG
rnacentral:rRNA from 1 species